rnacentral:lncRNA from 1 species
CAACAGUGCAGGCAACAUAUCCUGGUUUCUCUCUGUGGUCAUGCACCCGGACACAGAUUAGGAUGAAAGCACCAAUAUACCACGGAAUGGCAGCCAAGAAGAACCCGGCAAUGAACCUUUGUUCCAGCAAGAGAACGGAACUUUGUGAGGGACUGAUUUAACUUCAGAAAGUAAGGCAAAAUAGCAAGCAUAUUGGGAGGCACUCACAGAAGCCAACCCAUGCCGAGCCCACAGCAUGGAAGGGGCCGCAUUCUCAUGGGUCUGCCUUCAACGGGCCUUCCUUGAACAACAGGACCAUAACCUGAGGCAACAGAAACAGGACUAUCAUAUAACAUGGAUGCAUAUUUUUCAGUCUUGUGACAAUCUUAGGAU